UAGGCGGAUUGGCAAGUUGGGAGUGAAAUGUCGGGGCUUAACCCCAGGAACUGCUUCCAAAACUGUUGAUCUUGAGUGAUGGAGAGGCAGGCGGAAUUCCCAGUGUAGCGGUGAAAUGCGUAGAUAUUGGGAGGAACACCAGUGGCGAAGGCAGCUGACGGUAGCGCAACUGACGCUGAGGCUCGAAAGUGCGGGUAUCGAACAGGAUUAGAUACCCUGGUAGUCCGCACGGUAAAUGAUGGAUGCCCGCUGUUCCGGCCUUAGCUGGAGUGGCCAAGCGAAAGCGUUAAGCAUCCCACCUGGGGAGUACGCCGGCAACGGUGAAACUCAAAGGAAUUGACGGGGGCCCGCACAAGCGGAGGAACAUGUGGUUUAAUUCGAUGAUACGCGAGGAACCUUACCCGGGCUUGAACUGCAGGAGAACGAUUCAGAGAUGAUGAGGCCCUUCGGGGCUCCUGUGGAGGUGCUGCAUGGUUGUCGUCAGCUCGUGCCGUGAGGUGUCGGCUUAAGUGCCAUAACGAGCGCAACCCCUCUCCGUAGUUGCCAUCAGGUUAAGCUGGGCACUCUGCGGACACUGCCACCGCAAGGUGUGAGGAAGGUGGGGAUGACGUCAAAUCAGCACGGCCCUUACGUCCGGGGCUACACACGUGUUACAAUGGGUGGUACAGAGAGCGGGCCGUCCGCAAGGUCGGUCAAAUCCUAAAAGCCAUCCCCAGUUCGGAUUGGGGUCUGCAACCCGACCCCAUGAAGC
rnacentral:rRNA from 1 species